GACGAACGCUGGCGGCGUGCUUAACACAUGCAAGUCGAACGAAGAGCGAUGGAAGCUUGCUUCUAUCAAUCUUAGUGGCGAACGGGUGAGUAACGCGUAAUCAACCUGCCCUUCAGAGGGGGACAACAGUUGGAAACGACUGCUAAUACCGCAUACGAUCUAAUCUCGGCAUCGAGGAUAGAUGAAAGGUGGCCUCUACAUGUAAGCUAUCACUGAAGGAGGGGAUUGCGUCUGAUUAGCUAGUUGGAGGGGUAACGGCCCACCAAGGCGAUGAUCAGUAGCCGGUCUGAGAGGAUGAACGGCCACAUUGGGACUGAGACACGGCCCAGACUCCUACGGGAGGCAGCAGUGGGGAAUCUUCCGCAAUGGACGAAAGUCUGACGGAGCAACGCCGCGUGAGUGAUGACGGCCUUCGGGUUGUAAAGCUCUGUUAAUCGGGACGAAAGGCCUUUUUGCGAAUAGUGAGAAGGAUUGACGGUACCGGAAUAGAAAGCCACGGCUAACUACGUG
rnacentral:rRNA from 1 species